GGUAAACUACUUAAUUUUUGACUUCUUAAUGAUACACCCCAGGUUUAUGCUUAUUAACCAACGUAAUUAAUAUAUUAAUCAAACGUUCAUAAACCUAUAAUUUUGAGGUUUAUGUUUAAAAAAAAAGGAAAAAGACUAAACUACCCCCUUUUUAAAACCCUCCCCAAAACCCUUCCCCUUCAACUACUUUAUUUAACCAAAUUAAAUCAUCAUUUAUGUCGAUUAGAGCUCUCUGAAGAAAACACUCCCCUGUUCCAUUCAAAAAGAUCAUCUAAAACUAAUUUCUAGGGUUUGUUGCAAGCUGAAUUCGUGAAUUGCGUCAAGAUCCAAGGAAAUUCAACUCUCUUAUCAGGGGGUUGAUUUGGCACUUGAGCAAUUAUUGCCAGAAGCAAAAAGGAGAUAUUGUUGUAGGCAUCUAAGCAGGAACUACAAGAAAGUGUUUCCUGGCCCUUUGAUGUACAUACUGUUUUGGAGGGCUAGUAAUACCACGAGUGCCUUCACUUUACGAAAGGCUACGGAAAGGUUGAAGAAGGAAGCUGGGGAAGAUGUGAUGAAGUGGUUUGCAAAUUUGGGAGAUCAAUCCAAGUGGACUAAGCACAAGUCUAACCCAAAUGUUUGUAAUGAUGCAAACACUUCAAACUUUGUGGAAAACUUCAACUCCACUCUAGGAGUUGACAGAUGUAGGCCAGUUUUAACAUUGCUUGAACGUAUGAAAUACUUUUGUUUGUCAUUUUAACUAGCUUAAUAUGAAAAGAUAACCUUGAUGCAA